CAGAGUAGUGUGCAGUGAGCUGGCUAACGGUUUGGCUGCAAGAUAUUCACACCUCCAGUUUCCCCGUGGCAUUCAGAUUACGAUUACCGAUAGCUGUGGCCAGUAGCUGUGGCAGUAGCAGCUACCAGUUCCAGCAUCGAGUGCCAGCUAAGUAUCUCCAUCGUGUACGCCUGUUUGGGGGACCAACUGCAUUGCCACUACGAUUACGUAUAGUAUAUAUUUAUGUAUAUUCUGAUAUAUGCGAAAAUUAAUAGCUAUAGUUUGGUUAAUUGCUUGCAGAAAUGUUAACACUUGUUUGGCUUUCGAUCAAAUUGCAACUACAAUGAACAAUAACAAUAAAAUGCUACACGCUACAUAAAUUUUAAUUUCA